GGGGAUGACAGGUUUCGACGAGGAGGGUUGACCCGAGACUGCAAGCGGAGGUGCCUCCACCUCGGAAAACAGGGGCAAAACACAAGUGCCAAUACAGCACGAACACCGGCGUAUGCCUACGCCGUAGCUGCGUAAGCGGCCUAGCGUAGGUGAACGCCCUGGCCACCAAGAGUGGCCACGUCCAUUCCGCUCUCGCUUCCGGUGGUGCGGAAUUGGGCGUCAUGGGAACCGGAGUGCGGUCGCCUCUACGCCGAUAAAGGCGACCUAAGCCCUUUUACGGAAGGGAUCGGCUGGCACCGUGUUAACUCCGUCGGUUGAGGUAACAUGGAGCGAGAUCUAAAAAAAAGCCGACUAAGCUUGUAGGAUGUCUCCUGUCGAACUCUUCGGACGCGGGUUCGAUUCCCGCCAUCUCCACCU
rnacentral:tmRNA from 1 species